rnacentral:rRNA from 1 species
UACGUAGGGGGGCAAGCGUUGUCCGGAUUUACUGGGCGUAAAGCGCGCGUAGGCGGGAAGGGGAAGUCCGGUGGGAAAGCCCACGGCUCAACCGUGGAAGAACGCUGGAAACUCUCUUUCUUGAGGGCGGCAGAGGGAAGUGGAAUUGCUGGUGUAGCGGUGAAAUGCGUAGAGAUCAGCAGGAACACCCGUGGCGAAGGCGGCU